UACGGAGGGUGCGAGCGUUAAUCGGAAUUACUGGGCGUAAAGCGUGCGCAGGCGGGCUGGUAAGACAGGUGUGAAAUCCCCGGGCUCAACCGAGGAACUGCGAUUGUAACUGCGAGGCUAGAGUGCGGAAGAGGGAGGUGGAAGUCCACGUGGAGCAGUGAAAUGCGUAGAGAUUGGGAGGAACACCGAUGGCGAAGGCAGCCUCCUGGGCCAGCACUGACGCUGAGGCACGAAAGCGUGGGGAGCAAACAGG
rnacentral:rRNA from 1 species